UACGUAGGGAGCAAGCGUUGUCCGGAAUCAUUGGGCGUAAAGAGCGCGUAGGUGGCUUUAUAAGUCCGUUGUGAAAGUCAAAGGCUCAACCUUUGAAAGCCGAUGGAUACUGUGAAGCUAGAGUACGGAAGAGGCGAGUGGAAUUCCUGGUGUAGCGGUGGAAAUGCGCAGAUAUCAGGAGGAACACCAAUAGCGAAGGCAGCUCGCUGGGACGUUACUGACACUGAGGCGCGAAAGCGUGGGGAGCGAACAGG
rnacentral:rRNA from 1 species